UACGUAGGGGGCGAGCGUUGUCCGGAUUUAUUGGGCGUAAAGAGCUCGUAGGCGGUUCGAUAAGUCGGACGUGAAAUCUCCACGCUCAACGUGGAGGGGCCGUUCGAUACUGUCGUGACUCGAGUCCGGUAGGGGAGUGUGGAAUUCCCGGUGUAGCGGUGAAAUGCGCAGAGAUCGGGAGGAACACCCGUAGCGAAGGCGGGUUGCUGGGCUGAUACUGACGCUGAGGCGCGAAAGCCAGGGGAGCGAACGGG
rnacentral:rRNA from 1 species